AGCCCGUCCUCCUGUGUGGUCAUCUGGACUGCCUUCCUCGUAGGCACUGAGGGCCCGGAACAAGACAUUUUCUCAGUGCUGUGCUGGAAGCUGUUCAAAUGCAAUUAUGCUGUAUGUCGUUGCGGAAUAGAUGACUUAGAGGUUCCACACAAAUUGAAUUUUGAGGCCAGCCUGAAAUUACAUUAGAUUUGGGGGCUUUGACAAAAGCCUGUCUGAAUCCCCCUGAAGUCCCUUAGGGUCAUCUUUCUUUAAUCAUUCACUAAUGUUUUUCUGGUUAGGUCACUGAUUAAUGGAUGACGUACAUCUCCAUUCUCUGCCUACCUCCCAGUUUUUUAGUACUGUACAUAAUGUUUUAUUAAUUUGUCCUUUUUGGCUGCUGCCAAGACAGCAUAUAUGGAACUGAUUUUUGAACCUCAAGAAACUGACAUUUUGAAUUCUGCUUUGUAUCAUAAGCCUCAAAUGCAAGAAGCUGUGAUUAGAAUGUGAUAAUAGCCGAGGUGCCAUAAUUCUCUGCUGUUGUAUGAGGUUUGUGCAGCUAAAAUAUCUGACUCCUAAAAUGGAGUUUCCUGAAAUUAUUCCUUACUCAUAGUGUAAUGAGGUGUACGUGUUGGAUCUAUUAUAACUUUCUUUCACUCCAUCUCUCAGAAUAGAUGAUCAUCCUCAUCUUUGCAUCAUAUUCCAAUUAGAAAGGGAUGAUACAACAAGAAAGCUCUCGUAAGAUGUCAGCUGCUUGAUUUUGGACUUCGCAAACUCUAGAACUUUUCUCUUGCUUGCUCCUGCCAUGUAAGAAGUGCCUUUCG
rnacentral:lncRNA from 1 species